rnacentral:rRNA from 1 species
GGCGAACGGGUGAGUAACACGUGGGCAAUCUGCCCUGCACUCUGGGACAAGCCCUGGAAACGGGGUCUAAUACCGGAUAUGACUGUCCAUCGCAUGGUGGAUGGUGUAAAGCUCCGGCGGUGCAGGAUGAGCCCGCGGCCUAUCAGCUUGUUGGUGAGGUAGUGGCUCACCAAGGCGACGACGGGUAGCCGGCCUGAGAGGGCGACCGGCCACACUGGGACUGAGACACGGCCCAGACUCCUACGGGAGGCAGCAGUGGGGAAUAUUGCACAAUGGGCGAAAGCCUGAUGCAGCGACGCCGCGUGAGGGAUGACGGCCUUCGGGUUGUAAACCUCUUUCAGCAGGGAAGAAGCGAAAGUGACGGUACCUGCAGAAGAAGCGCCGGCUAACUACGUGCCAGCAGCCGCGGUAAUACGUAGGGCGCAAGCGUUGUCCGGAAUUAUUGGGCGUAAAGAGCUCGUAGGCGGCUUGUCACGUCGGUUGUGAAAGCCCGGGGCUUAACCCCGGGUCUGCAGUCGAUACGGGCAGGCUAGAGUUCGGUAGGGGAGAUCGGAAUUCCUGGUGUAGCGGUGAAAUGCGCAGAUAUCAGGAGGAACACCGGUGGCGAAGGCGGAUCUCUGGGCCGAUACUGACGCUGAGGAGCGAAAGCGUGGGGAGCGAACAGGAUUAGAUACCCUGGUAGUCCACGCCGUAACGGUGGGCACUAGGUGUGGGCAACAUUCCACGUUGUCCGUGCCGCAGCUAACGCAUUAAGUGCCCCGCCUGGGGAGUACGGCCGCAAGGCUAAAACUCAAGGAAUUGACGGGGGCCCGCACAAGCGGCGGAGCAUGUGGCUUAUUUCGACGCAACGCGAAGAACCUUACCAAGGCUUGAC